AUAAAGUUAAGUCAGCAACCGUCUACCAGACUGCAAGAUUCAUCUCUUCCAAAGGAUGUCGUACCUUUCCAGAUACACUGUGUUUUGUGUGGAUAAGAAAUGCAGAGUGGUACCACCAAUCACCUAAGCCACCAUUCCCCUAACAGACAAUAGGUUAUGGGGACAGUUCCUGCAAUUUACAGAAAAGCUCUCAAUUGUAGCCCUACGAACUUCAGAUACUGCCGAUGGUGAAGCUUGGGUGCACCGGGCCGGUUUUCCAGCCGUGUGGAAUCAACAUCUCCAGCUGAACUGGGGCCGGGAAUUAUAUAAGACUCCUUAGCAGCAUGAGUGCCAGCCAGUCAUUGCUGUUCUUUGCAUUGCUGAGGAGGACAGUCCUGCCAACAUAACAGUUUGUUCAAUAACAGGUAAAAAAC